CCCUGCCUCUGCCUGACUGCCUGCCGCUCAUUGACUUCAGCCGCUCGAGCUGCCACUGCUGCCUGUCCUGCUGUCCCUGCCUCUGAAGAGGUUCAAUCUGAUGAUGUUGAUGAGGAUGAGGUCCUGUCUCCUGUUUUGGGCUGCAAUCUCAUUUGAAUAUCUCUAUGGAGCUGUGUAUCUGGCUGUGCUGCUGCUGCUUUCGUGCGUGAGAAAAUUGUCAGCAUAUUGAUUCGAUGGACGAUGAUUAUCAACAGUUAUGCGCAUAUUUAAUGACGCAUACCACGGGAAUGUCCUUCGUAUUUGUAUUUGGAUUCUGUUGCUGUUGCAUUUGCAUUCGCCGGCUAAGUCGCGGCUAAGUUUAUGUGCAAAUAUCCAAAUGGAGGAUGGAGAUUCGAUGUAGUUUUCGGAAUGUAUUUGAACAGCUUUUCGAGUGAGUGACAAGCCAAGCCGCAACUUUCACCAACCGACAGCUGCUUGUGGAAUCUCCUGUUUCGCUGCUGAUUAGAUGUGGC
rnacentral:lncRNA from 1 species